rnacentral:rRNA from 1 species
GAUGAACGCUGGCGGCGUGCCUAAUACAUGCAAGUCGAGCGAACGGACGAGAAGCUUGCUUCUCUGAUGUUAGCGGCGGACGGGUGAGUAACACGUGGAUAACCUACCUAUAAGACUGGGAUAACUUCGGGAAACCGGAGCUAAUACCGGAUGAUAUUUUGAACCGCAUGGUUCAAAAGUGAAAGACGGUCUUGCUGUCACUUAUAGAUGGAUCCGCGCUGCAUUAGCUAGUUGGUAAGGUAACGGCUUACCAAGGCAACGAUGCAUAGCCGACCUGAGAGGGUGAUCGGCCACACUGGAACUGAGACACGGUCCAGACUCCUACGGGAGGCAGCAGUAGGGAAUCUUCCGCAAUGGGCGAAAGCCUGACGGAGCAACGCCGCGUGAGUGAUGAAGGUCUUCGGACCGUAAAACGCUGUUAUUAGGGAAGAACAUAUGUGUAAGUAACUGUGCACAUCUUGACGGUACCUAAGCAGAAAGCCACGGCUAACUACGU